rnacentral:lncRNA from 1 species
GGGAAGAAGCAACUGACAGGUGGGGCCCACCUGUCAGCGGCUGCAGCGCGCGCGCGAGGCAGCGGGCUGCUGCGGGGCUACGGCGCGCGGCAGGUAAGUGGGCCGGCCCAGUUGGGUGGGUCCGUUUCCCUUUUUUUUUUCUUUUCCUUUCUCCUUUUUCUUUUUCUGUUUAUCCUUUGUAACUUUUGAUUUUGAACUCCAAAUUGGUCCAAAUAAAUUCCAGAAAAUUUGUAAAAUCAUGUUAUAAUAUGAUUCAACUUUUGGGACCAAAUUCCCUUCAAAAUAAAAUAGUUAAAAUUAUUUUUUUCCCUAUAAAUGCCUUUAGGGCUUUAUAACUAUUUGAAAUAAAUAGUUUUUCACCUCCAAAAUAAAUCUUAAAAUUAUGGGAUAGCUCCCAUAUGCCAUAAACCCCUUUUACAAAUAAACUCUAUGGGUUCUAAAAUCCAAAGCUCAAAUGGGUGAAAAUCCAAGGUUUAAAAUGAAAUAAAACCUUUUUAAAGCCUUUUGAAAUUCAAAUUUUGAUUCAAACAUGCAAAUGUGGCAUGAUGCUCAUGAAUGCAAUGCAUAUGAAAGAGUUUGAAUUUUUGGGAUGUUACAGACACAGGCGCUCCCAUAUAAAUGGUGAGACGACUCAUAGAAAUGCACCCAUAAAAAUGGACCUGACACCGCAUAACAUCUCAAAACUAUCCAAAGGAGCCCACCGAGGACGGUUCAUUAAAUUACUUGUUUUGCCAUACCCUAGGAAAACAUAACUUUACUCCAUAAUGACAAUAAUAUCACAUUGU